UUUUUCCCAUCUGAAACCCUAAUAAUCCUCUAUUUGUGACACUGUCAGUGUUGCUAAGUAGCCAAAUGUGAUGUCAUAAGUAGGGUUAUAUCUUUAGGAGGGUGUGAAAUUUGCUUAUCAAUUCGUAUAAAUUCUGCCUAAUAAGGGGAUAUUCUCCUCCACGAGAAGGGCAAAGGUGGUUCCUGCAGACAGGCCAAUUUUCCAGGGUAAAUUUCAUAUUAGUGCCACACUGCAGAGACGCCUCCCUCUCCUUCCCGCCUCUCCCCUCCAGCUUCCUCCCUUACCGCAGAAGACUUUAUCACUAAUUCCAAGGAAAGUAAAGCCUGGCUCUUCUGACAGCUCGCUGUACACUGGAUCUUUAUGAAUGGAGUUUUAUUUAACUAACGUCCACUGACAUUCAUGAGAGCUUGCGAAGUACUGAGCCGAAGGCUACAAAGAGUAAAAGCAGAUGACAAACACUCCCAUGAAAACUACAGUUUAAGAGGUGGAACAAGACAAGCACUAAACAUCAUGAAUCCAAAGCAAAGAAUAAGAAGGCUCACCAGGCGAACACCCACACUCUAAACGAGAAUCCAAAGGAAAGGCGGCAGGUCACCUGCUCUAAGCCGGCAUCAGCCACGGCAUCCCACAGAAGUGAGUGGGCACUUCAGGGUUCUACAUUCACACAGCCAUGGAGGGGUUCAGGCUGGAACACACCCUGGUGAAAUACAGCAGGCAACAUGGGACACGGGGAGAAGAGCAGACAUGUCGACUGUCCAGUGCAGCUGUGCUUAGGGAAGCUGCAGCUGACUCAUGUUGGGUCUGACAUUCCUUCAGAGCAUGACCACAUUCUCCUCCCCUGCCUGACAAUCUCCAGUGCCAAUUCUGGUGAGAAGUGAAUGGAGAGAAGACACCUUCUGUGCCGUGCAGUGUCUGGAGAGGUUAGGGAUCCCAGGGUCCUGGCCAGAGAGAAGGCAGCCCAAAGUCACCAUGAAUUGUUCAGAAGAGCCCUCUAGGUCAAAUACAUGAAACCCCGUCCCAGAGGGACCCAGAGCUACACAACAGCUUCAGUGUGGAGUCGGAAUUUGAAUCCGGGUCUAGCUGAUUCCAAAGUCAGUGCCACAUUAGACUGGGAAGAAUCAGAAACCAAACAUCUGUACCUGUGCUCAGAACCAGGAUUAGUAAGGGAGUUGUCUUCUUGUUUGCUCAGCUCCCCAUCAAGCACAACCAGUCCAGCCACUGACCCUCGUGGGGCCAAGAAGUGGAAUUAAGAAUGGUAUAAGAUUCCUAAAGGUCUCUUUUGCCACCACCACAACUAGCCUUUUCAUUCCCACUGGCUUAAAGACAAGACUUUGUUACACAACCAAUUAAACUCUGCUGUGACUGGCUCAUUGCCUUUUCACGUGUCUGCAUUGCCAGGGUGGUCUGUGGGUGCUCUCUGGGAGUGCAAAGACGAGAUAGUAAACAUU